UAUGGCAUCGAGCCACAUAAGGAAAUAUUAGGUCAGAAAACCAAAAGCUUGGUCAAAAAGGUACUGGCUCAAUAGCCUACUGAAGAUUGUGGUCAUCGAGUAUUUUGCCUGAGACAUGCAAGAAUUCAGACAGCAAGUGUCUGGGAUGGGCAAUAAAAACAUUAGCCUAGCCAGCAACAUCCAUGUCCUGUGAAAGAAUUUUAAAAAUCAGUGGGCAACUUCACUACAAGGAACAUCAUGAUCAAGCAUAAUCCAUGCUGACAUCAUCAUCUAUACUUUCCAAUGGAAGUUUCUGGAUAAGGAUCAGAAGUAUGAAUCCUGGCUGAUGUUUCUCCUUUACAGAAUGCUAAUCGCAUUAUCCAGGAUGCACAGCUUUAAAUAGUGUUCUGGCAAGGACUCGUGGAUUUGCAAAGUACUGAAGGAGUGAAUUAGGUUCUUUGGGCCAAUCUCCGCAAAAAAUAAAUCGUCUUGUAUUUGAUUAGCCAAGUUGCAUGAGA